rnacentral:rRNA from 1 species
GGGUGGUAAUGCCGGAUGCUCCAGUCCAUCGCAUGGUGGUCUGGGAAAGAUUCCAUCGGUAUGGGAUGGGGUCGCGUCCUAUCAGCUUGAUGGCGGGGUAACGGCCCACCAUGGCUUCGACGGGUAGCCGGCCUGAGAGGGCGACCGGCCACAUUGGGACUGAGAUACGGCCCAGACUCCUACGGGAGGCAGCAGUGGGGAAUAUUGCACAAUGGGCGCAAGCCUGAUGCAGCGACGCCGCGUGCGGGAUGGAGGCCUUCGGGUUGUAAACCGCUUUUGAUCGGGAGCAAGCCCUUCGGGGUGAGUGUACCCUUCGAAUAAGCACCGGCUAACUACGUGCCAGCAGCCGCGGUAAUACGUAGGGUGCAAGCGUUAUCCGGAAUUAUUGGGCGUAAAGGGCUCGUAGGCGGUUCGUCGCGUCCGGUGUGAAAGCCCAUCGCUUAACGGUGGGUCUGCGCCGGGUACGGGCGGGCUGGAGUGCGGUAGGGGAGA